CAAUAAACCUGCCAUCCGCUUUAUCACGAUUCUUCAUCAUGAUAAAGCGGAUGGCAGGACAACAG
rnacentral:sRNA from 1 species